UACGUAGGGCGCAAGCGUUGUCCGGAAUUAUUGGGCGUAAAGAGCUCGUAGGCGGCCUGUUACGUCUGCUGUGAAAUCCCGGGGCUUAACCCCGGGCGUGCAGUGGAUACGGGCAGGUUGGAGGCAGGCAGGGGAGAACGGAAUUCCCGGUGUAGCGGUGAAAUGCGCAGAUAUCGGGAGGAACACCGGUGGCGAAGGCGGUUCUCUGGGCCUGUUCUGACGCUGAGGAGCGAAAGCGUGGGGAGCGAACAGG
rnacentral:rRNA from 1 species